CAGAUGGGAGCUUGCUCCCUGAUGUUAGCGGCGGACGGGUGAGUAACACGUGGGUAACCUGCCUGUAAGACUGGGAUAACUCCGGGAAACCGGGGCUAAUACCGGAUGGUUGUCUGAACCGCAUGGUUCAGACAUAAAAGGUGGCUUCGGCUACCACUUACAGAUGGACCCGCGGCGCAUUAGCUAGUUGGUGAGGUAACGGCUCACCAAGGCGACGAUGCGUAGCCGACCUGAGAGGGUGAUCGGCCACACUGGGACUGAGACACGGCCCAGACUCCUACGGGAGGCAGCAGUAGGGAAUCUUCCGCAAUGGACGAAAGUCUGACGGAGCAACGCCGCGUGAGUGAUGAAGGUUUUCGGAUCGUAAAGCUCUGUUGUUAGGGAAGAACAAGUGCCGUUCAAAUAGGGCGGCACCUUGACGGUACCUAACCAGAAAGCCACGGCUAACUACGUGCCAGCAGCCGCGGUAAUACGUAGGUGGCAAGCGUUGUCCGGAAUUAUUGGGCGUAAAGGGCUCGCAGGCGGUUUCUUAAGUCUGAUGUGAAAGCCCCCGGCUCAACCGGGGAGGGUCAUUGGAAACUGGGGAACUUGAGUGCAGAAGAGGAGAGUGGAAUUCCACGUGUAGCGGUGAAAUGCGUAGAGAUGUGGAGGAACACCAGUGGCGAAGGCGACUCUCUGGUCUGUAACUGACGCUGAGGAGCGAAAGCGUGGGGAGCGAACAGGAUUAGAUACCCUGGUAGUCCACGCCGUAAACGAUGAGUGCUAAGUGUUAGGGGGUUUCCGCCCCUUAGUGCUGCAGCUAACGCAUUAAGCACUCCGCCUGGGGAGUACGGUCGCAAGACUGAAACUCAAAGGAAUU
rnacentral:rRNA from 2 species